AAGACUAUAGACCUGCGGAGUACCUGCGGAAGGAUCAUUAACGUAUCUAUGAUGGGGUGCGGAGCGCCCUGCUCCGGUCGAACGGCCGUGCAGCGGGUGCGCCGCCCCCGUCCCACCUCACAAACCCACUGUGAACAUUCACCGGUGGAGGGGGCUCGGUCUGCGCCGUGUCCCCGAUGCCGAAUACCCAAACUCCAGUUGCAAAGAACGUCGUACGGACUCGGUGCCGCCUAAAACAUG
rnacentral:misc_RNA from 1 species